GAUGAACGCUGGCGGCGUGCUUAACACAUGCAAGUCGAACGAGGUCCAUGGAGCUUGCUCCGGAAGAUCUAGUGGCGAACGGGUGCAUAACACGUGAGAAACCUGCCUCAGUCUCUGGGAUAACAGUUGGAAACGACUGCUAAUACCGGAUGCCGUCACACCAUCACAUGGUGGAGUGACGAAAGAUUUAUCGGAUUGAGAGGGUCUCGCGGCCUAUCAGCUAGUUGGAGAGGUAACGGCUCACCAAGGCAUCGACGGGUAGCUGGUCUGAGAGGAUGAUCAGCCACACUGGGACUGAGACACGGCCCAGACUCCUACGGGAGGCAGCAGUGGGGAAUCUUGCACAAUGGGCGAAAGCCUGAUGCAGCAACGCCGCGUGCGGGAAGAAGGCCCUAGGGUUGUAAACCGCUUUCAGUAGGAACGAAAAUGACGGUACCUACAGAAGAAGGUGCGGCCAACUACGUGCCAGCAGCCGCGGUGACACGUAGGCACCAAGCGUUAUCCGGAUUUAUUGGGCGUAAAGAGCUCGUAGGCGGUUCGGUAAGUCGGGUGUGAAGACUCUGGGCUCAACCCAGAGAGGCCACCCGAUACUGCUGUGACUAGAGUGCGGUAGGGGAGCGGGGAAUUCCUGGUGUAGCGGUGAAAUGCGCAGAUAUCAGGAGGAACACCAGCGGCGAAGGCGCCGCUCUGGGCCGUAACUGACGCUGAGGAGCGAAAGCAUGGGUAGCAAACAGGAUUAGAUACCCUGGUAGUCCAUGCCGUAAACGUUGGGCACUAGGUGUGGGUCUCAACCAACGAGAUCCGCGCCGUCGCUAACGCAUUAAGUGCCC
rnacentral:rRNA from 1 species